ACUCCAAGACGUCCACAUGUCUGUGGUCCAGGAGGAGCAGGGAGAGGCGCGGGACGAGGGGGCCGGAGGAGGAGCGAGCUGGGCAGCGUGUUUAUAACCCACGCUCCCCAAAGCCCACAGUCUGCGCAGGCAAACAGCACGUGGCUCCUAGCUCCUCCGGGGUGGAAAAAAAAAACAUACACACUAAAAAAGAAAGAACGAGGGGAGAAAACACCUGGAUCCUUUUAUGUGGACGCUCACCACGACCUGACAGUUGGCAAAAAUACGCUCUUUCCGCCGACCGGCAGGACGGGUCAUUUCGCAGAAACUCGGCCGCUGCUGAUAAACGCACCCCUUCUCAGCGCUCCUCCCAGCCGGAUACACAAAGCACUUGAGAGCCACCAGCAUGGCGAGGCGAGCACAUAUACUCCAACAUGAAUCCUGCCUAACUGGAAUCUGAUGGGGCCCUGCUGGGCCAGCGGCAGCACACAGCACACAGCCCUGUGUAAGAGCCCUCCCCCCCCCCCAAGCUCUUGUCCCUGAACAGUAAGAGUUUACAUGCUGUGGAGGAUCAGCGGCAGCAUGGACUCUCUUACGGUGCAGGGAGCAGAGCCACUCUCCUGCUCCUGGAAGGGCCUUGGGGGUCACAGCCGACCUUGGAGACGGACACACACAACAGCCGGAGACAGCUUUGACAGUUAAUUUGGUUUAUUCGUUUGUUGAAGCAUUACAUUGCAUUAUGAGUAUGAAUAAAAACUGAAAUGAAAAAUGA